rnacentral:rRNA from 1 species
GAUGAACGCUGGCGGCGUGCCUAAUACAUGCAAGUCGAGCGAGCGGCGGACGGGUGAGCAAUGUCUGGGAAACUGCCUGAUGGAGGGGGAUAACUACUGGAAACGGUUGCUAAUACCGCAUACCAUCAGAUGUGCCCAGUUGGGAUUAGGUAGUAGGGGGGGUAAAGGCUCACCUAGGCGACGCUCCCUAGCUGGUCUGAGAGGAUGACCAGCCACACUGGAACGGAGACACGGUCCAGACUCCUAAGGGAGGCAGCAGUGGGGAAUAUUGCACAAUGGGCGCAAGCCUGAUGCAGCCAUGCCGCGUGUAUGAAGAAGGCCUUCGGGUUGUAAAGUACUUUCAGCGGGGAGGCGUUACCCGCAGAAGAAGCACCGGCUAACUCCGUGCCAGCAGCCGCGGUAAUUC